UUUGUACUCCCUCCGUCCCAAAAUUCUUGUCUUAAAUUUGUCUAAAUAUGGAUGUAUCUAGUUACAUUUUAGUGUUAGAUACAUCUGUAUCUAAACAAAUGUAAGACAAUAAUUUUGGGACGGAGGGAAUACUAC
rnacentral:pre_miRNA from 1 species